rnacentral:rRNA from 1 species
GAUGAACGCUGGCGGCGUGCCUAAUACAUGCAAGUCGAGCGAACAGACGAGGAGCUUGCUCCUCUGACGUUAGCGGCGGACGGGUGAGUAACACGUGGAUAACCUACCUAUAAGACUGGGAUAACUUCGGGAAACCGGAGCUAAUACCGGAUAACAUGUUGAACCGCAUGGUUUAACAGUGAAAGACGGUCUUGCUGUCACUUAUAGAUGGAUCCGCGCCGCAUUAGCUAGUUGGUAAGGUAACGGCUUACCAAGGCAACGAUGCGUAGCCGACCUGAGAGGGUGAUCGGCCACACUGGAACUGAGACACGGUCCAGACUCCUACGGGAGGCAGCAGUAGGGAAUCUUCCGCAAUGGGCGAAAGCCUGACGGAGCAACGCCGCGUGAGUGAAGAAGGUCUUCGGAUCGUACAACUCUGUUAUUAGGGAAGAACAAAUGUGUAAGUAACUAUGCACGUCUUGACGGUACCUAAUCAGAAAGCCACGGCUAACUACGUG